rnacentral:rRNA from 1 species
AGUGAACGCUGGCGGUAGGCCUAACACAUGCAAGUCGAACGGCAGCACAGUAAGAGCUUGCUCUUACGGGUGGCGAGUGGCGGACGGGUGAGGAAUACAUCGGAAUCUACUUUUUCGUGGGGGAUAACGUAGGGAAACUUACGCUAAUACCGCAUACGACCUACGGGUGAAAGCAGGGGAUCUUCGGACCUUGCGCGAUUGAAUGAGCCGAUGUCGGAUUAGCUAGUUGGCGGGGUAAAGGCCCACCAAGGCGACGAUCCGUAGCUGGUCUGAGAGGAUGAUGAGCCACACGGGAACUGAGAAACGGUCCAGACCCCGCGGGGGGGCAGGAAGGGGAAAUAUGGGAAAAGGGGCGAAAGCCUGAACCAGCCCUACCGGGGGGGUAAAGAAGGCCUUCGGGUUGUAAAGCCCUUUUUUUGGGAAAAAAAAGCAGCAGGUUAAACCCCCGCUGUUUGGCGGGUACCAAAAAAAAAAGCACCGGCUAACUUCGU